AUGUCCACCUACCUCUCCGAUCUUAUUAAGGACUACUCCCUCGACUUUCUGGCGUUGCAAGAAACGAUGAGAAAGAAUUUCCAUAAUAGCUUCUUUAGAAAAAUUGAUCCUGAUGAUCUCUUUGCCUGGUGUUGGGUCCCCUCGAUAGGCAAAUCUGGUGGUAUCCUUUGCGGUGUUAAGAAAGAAAAAUACGAGGUCGUCUCCUGGAAAGUGGGUAAGUUUAUCUUAUAAGACACUAUAAAUAAUGUGGAUAAAAAUGUAAUCUAGGCCCUAAUGGUAGUAUACGGAGCGGCCUGGGAUGAAUUCAAAGAGGAUUUCCUUGUUGAAAUGGCCUCCUUCUGCUCUCACAUCAAUAUCCCUUUUGUGAUAUGUGGUGACUUUAAUAUCUUGAGAGGGGAAGACGACAAGAACAAAAAUAUGAAACAGAACCCUUAUGUUGACAAGUUCAACUCUGUGAUCAAUGCAUUUAACCUUAGAUAAAUUCAUCUAUCUGGGGGUAAAUAUACCUGGUCUAAUAACCAAGCUCACCCUACGCUUGAGAAACUGGAUAGGGUGCUUAUGAGCUAUUCUUGGGAAGAUUUAUUUCCCCUGGUGUCGGUUCGGAAACUUGUUAGAGACAUUUAUGAUCACAACCCUCUCCUACUCUCUCUGAAAGCUGAUAGUCCGGAACCUCCUAAGAAGAAAGAGUUUCGAUUUGAGCUUAGCUGGUUGACAAAUGAGCUGUUUCUCCCUAAAGCCAGAGAAAUCUGGGAAUAGCCU
rnacentral:rRNA from 1 species